ACAAAAAUCACGCGUUAUACAUAUUCAGAGUAAGGUUCCACCACAUUUACUUUUUUUAAGUGAGCUUUGUAACUUGUAUUAAAGGUCAGCAUCACUCACCUUUUGUCAGAGUCCAAGUCUAAUCUUCCCAGUGAGUUAGCUGACCUUAAAAAUGAAUUGUACAGCUGGAAAACCUGCAUAGAGGAGGGAGGAAAAAUAGAAUCACCAGCAAAAAAUCCCUACUGUUCCAAUUAAUCAAAGCACGUUCAUUCAAAAACAGCUUAACAUCUGUGAAAUGCUUACCUUGCAAAAGCAGAGUUCCUUACUCCACAGUUCCAAGUGCUGUAUUGUCAGCUAAUAAAACCCCACCUCCUGCUUCAUUGGAGGAGCAUCUUCCUCUCUUUGGCCAACGUACAAAACCUUUUCAGUUUGCUUUUAUUACUGUAGUAGAUCAGCCUGCAGUUUGCAUAUUAUAGACAUGCAGAAAAUAAGUGUGCACCAUAGAAGUCCUGUUUUCCAGAGCUGGAUGGUAAUUGAACGUACACAAAAUGCCAGGAUUGCUGAUACCAACUUCCAUUUGCUGUAUUUCCCAGCCUGCUUAAUAUAACACUUUGCAGAACUGGAGAACCUUGUAGAAAGAUGGGUUAGCCGUCAUCUUGUAUGUAGGCAUAUUUAAGCUCUAUAGUGUCAACUGCCCUACCUAGUUGCAUUUGUUAGUAGGAGACAUUUAGACAUCUGUCAAAACAGCUGUAGAGAUGCUGGUUGAAAUGUGGAGGAUUUUAUUUGAUGGACUGUUGUUGAUAGCACAUAAUCAGAAGAAAAAUGCAUUGGAGUUCUGAUACUUUUAAAGUAUCACACUUAGAAAAUUAUGGGAUGUGCUUUUCCAACCUGCAGUGAAAUGAGCAUAAGCACGGCAUUUGUAGUUACAGUUCAUUCACGUAGAAGAAUGGUGAGUUGAUCUCGGCUGGUCCAGGUGCUCACCAUGCCUCCCUCUCCUCAGCAAGAUGGAAAGUUAGAAAAAAGCUUGUGGGUAGGGAUAGGGCCAGGGAGAUCACUCAACCAGUUACCAUCAAGGUGAAAACUGGCUCAAGUUGGGGAAGGCUUACUGUUUAUUGCCAAUUAAUAAAUCAACUAGAGCAGCGAGAGCUGAAAGCAUACUAAAACCACCUUCCCCUCAGCCCUUUUCUUCCCAGGGUCAACUUCAAACCUCCUCCGCCAAGCAGCGCAGGAGAAUGGGGGCUGUGGUCAGUUCAUAUCACCUCAUCUCUGCUGCUCUUCCAUGGUCACACAUUGCUCCUGCUCCAGCUGGGGUCCCUCCCAUGGGAUGCUGUCCUUCCCACUCUGAUCCUGUGUAGUCUUCCUACAGGCUGCAGUUCUACAGGCACUGCUCCAAUGCAGCUCUGUAUCACAAGGCCCACCCUUCAGCAGCUCCCCCAGCCCUGCUGCUCCACUGCAGGCUGCUCUCCAUGGGCUGCAGCUCUGGCCCUGCUCCAGUGUGCACUCUCCCCAGGGUGCAGCUUCUUUCAGAGCACAUCCAGUUGCUCCAGUGUGGGGUUUGUAGUUACCCAGUGAAUUUUAACAUUUUAAAAGACAAAUCAUAAUACUUUUUAGUUAGACUGACCACUCAAUGCUUUUAUAAAGUUUAUUUCUUUGCUGUACAGAGGCAGAAAUGUAAACCAUCUCAAUAAACCUACAUCAGUAACUACUCGGACAUGGUACAGAUAUACAAAAAGCCAUUAUUUAACUUCAGUGUUGAUACCAUAUUUAAUGCAGAACUGGAUGCAAAUAAUGCAAACAGUAUCUACACAGUGGAAGGCAUAAUUCUCAUACUAUUUACAUCUUGUUCCUCAUAACAAAGGCUUCUGAUACAUCAGUUCUUUCUUCAUCUGUAUUUAAUAAUCCUUCUCCAUAGUAGUGCAGCCUCAGAACUGAAAAGUGCAUUUUCUUUAUUAUAUACAUUUUCAGAAGGUUUACAAAUAGUUCCAGAAACAGUUCUCAAACCUUCAUUUUUCAAAUCCAUUUACUGAAUGCGUUUUCCAUCAAUUAAAAUUAUUUCAUAAACUAAAACCACCAUUUUCCCAAAGCUCUGUAGAUCACAUGCAAUUAUAAAAUCAAAGCUCCUAAUAUCAAAUCUAGGAGCCACUGUCUUCUGACUUGGGAAUAUUAAACGUUCCUGUGCAAGCACUCAAUCCGUUGCUGUUUUAAAUACAAAAUACUCUGGAGCAUUUCAGGUUGGCAAGUUUACAGUUCCAAACAGCUUUGGAAGAGCUCUACAACACAGAUAUUUACAUUUGGUGUUAGAUUCAGUUGUAGUUCCUCUCACUCUGCAAGUGAAGUGAAAGAAGAAUCCAUUUACUGUCAUCGUAGGAAACUACAGUCAUUUCACAAGCAAAACAGUUAAAAAACAAGACAAGAUUAAAUAGUCAGCUCUUCCUCUCUUCUAUAAAGUAAAAUUGCUAAAAAUAAAGUACCUUUCAUCUUCUAAGCUACUGCAAUUCCCGCCACAUUUAUUUUUAAACCACAACGACCACAACAUCCUGCAGCACUGGAGAUCUUGACAGACUGAAUCCCAGCCAAUCUUGUUUUAGGAGAUUAAAAUACUGCGUUUCAUCUCCUGUCUGCUCUCCUGCAGAUAGGGCAGCAAUGAGUAACAGCAGCAUAGCAUCUUGUUUGAAACACAUCUUAACUCCCAUGGCAACUAGUUUUUCAGCCAAGCCGCUGGACUGUAGACUAAGAACUCGCACACAGUGCUCCAUCAGCAGAGCACAGAACGGUCAGCUCUGACAGAAAGCCAGUAGUGAGCAGAGGAAGGAAGAGGGUCAGAGAACAAGAGCAGCUUGCUACGUCUGCAUGUGCCUAGCCCUUUGCAUUCCUGUUGCCAUGAAGGAAUGCAACAGCAUAAAGAUAACUUUCAGAUAUUUCCUAUACUCCUGCACAUCUUUGCACACUUAAACUAUGUCCUGGGAUGAAAACUUACACAGCUAUGUUGAAGUUGAAAACUGUAAGACAAUCUUUAAAAAAAAAAAUUACACGAGGAUAAAAAUGUAAAUGGGAGAUGUUACCUUCAUCAGGAGGAACUGAUGGCUCAGUUUCAGAAGUGACAGCUUCCUUAUCUUCAGAAUUUUUGUCUGCUGGCUUAUCUUGUUCCACCUCACACAGAUACACGUCAAUGGGUCCUUUUGUGCUCUUUACAUGUACUUUGAUGCAAUCCUGCAAAAUAGUGACUUGCAUAUUAAACAGAAGAGAAACCUUACAUGUUGGUUAUGUAUUUCAGCACAUAUUUUAAUCCCAGCAGGCUAAGAACAGAACAAAUAGAAGAGUGACAUAACUAUUUAAGGUUACGUUACUAGUUCUAAGUAAGUUAUGACUCGAUUUUCAGGCUAGUUAUUAAGUAUCACUAAGCUAACAAGGUUUCACUUCUGAUGGGCAACAUACCUAAUGAAGCCAUUUAGUCUCUUUACUGACCUGAUAAAUGGCCAAGAUUUAUCAUAUGUUUAGUAAGAAGAACAAAAGUAAGAACUUGGCAGUCAAUGCCAUGGAUCAGAAAACAAAUGAGACCACAUCAGGGUUUUAUAAUAAUAUGGCAAAACAAACUCUAGUAGUAUUUUCUUUUAGCAGACAUCACACUGCAAGGCACAGACUAAGUCAAAUUCAAUGGGAAAUGGUUAGAACAACAUUCUCCCUAAAGGAAGGCCUUUCAAACCCUGCUGCUUUUUUGCUUCAGGAAGCCUAUGGAAUCUUCUCUUUCUCACCAGCACAAAAUGAGAUCCAGCUUCUUUUGCCUGUGAAAUCACUAGAUAUAUGCAUAGUGGAUUUAAGUCUUCUGUUCUUAUUGAUUUGUAUCUUCUUUUCCUAGGAUGACCUGAACAGGAAUAGGUAUGCUGUACCAAGAGGAAAGGACAGGCCACAUCCCCUGCCUCCAUGGAGAAUACAUCUGGACUACCAGAACUACUUCUUUUGUUGAUCACAUUAAAUUCCAAGUUUCCAAGCCAACUUACACCCACUGGAUGUGAUUCUUUGAUCUUUUCUGAAUUAAGUCGAUCCCAUCCAACACACUGGUGAUGUCAUAUACUCUUCGUUUUUGUACUCCAAGAGCUGUUGCUACGUCGUUUAAAUCAAGGACACCAUCUGGAGCUCUUUUAACAAGAUCCAUGAAUUUUCGAGUCAAAUAAACCAAGGAUGCAUCAAAUCGAGGCCUUUUGACCUUCAGAGUUUCUGUAAUGUUUUUGACACAAUAUUUAGGCAUGUGUCACCACUGUAAGAAGAAAAACAAUAAAUACUUCAAGGAUAACACAUGGAAUGCAGCCACUUACUUUUUACAACUGGUACGUCAUCAUCCAAAUUCAAGUCAAGCAUUGGUGUCUGAGGA